GCCAGUAUCUCGAUAUUAUGAAUAAACUAGUUCAUAUUUUUGAAGCCCCAGCCUCCAAACUUUGCUCGUUCAUGACUUAACUGAAAAAGAAUCCAGAUGACUUGCUAUGACAGUCAAACUAAAUAAAUUGAUUUACUUUUGCAGAACAUAAGAUAAAUGGUCUUGAUACUCUUCUUGCUUUCAUGCUGUUCUGGAAGAGCUUUCUUGUUUGCUUGGGCAGUAAUUGCUAAACAAAAUGACUGUGAGUUAGUAGGUGAGGAAGUUCAUGCAAAACUAGAUCUGUUAGAUUAUUUUUCAUAUUCAUUAUAUAACUCAGUGUAACAUUAGACAAUUGGUCAGUUAGCCAUUUGUUUUGUAAUAAAACUUCAGUAAAGGUUAGUAAUUGAUUAAUAGAUGUGUCAUGGUCAACGUGUUUUCACUUUUCAAGUUUUGAUAGGAGACCAUCAGAAAGGUUACAUUAAUAGCUGCAACAAUUGUGGAGAAAUGGAGGAUAGCUUCAAGGGGGAGUUGGUGAAGGAUAUUUCUUUCAGGCGUUGUGAAAAUCUUGCAGAUCUCCAAGGCUAUCCUCAAUCCUCUGGGCACCUGUAUUGGGUUGUCUUAGUUGAGAAACGGGAGCUGUUGUGACAUUGUACUAUUUGUCCCUCCACACAGCCACCCAUCUAUGAGAUAAAAUAACAUGUAGGCAAAGUUCCUAGUGCCAGCUGACCCUACUUCUAGUUGGGCAUUGCCUAGAUUAUACAUCCCAUUGAUACUAGGUUCUACCUGUCAUUGUCUGCGCUAACAAACCAUGCCAACCUUGACUACAUCUUGAGUCUCAAUCAUACUCCUUAGGGAAGGUUUUCAUUCAAUUUGCCAUUGGUUGAUUCUUGAAAUUAUCCACUCAACCUGUAGGAACACAUCAGACACAUUUUUGGAUGACAACCUCUGAUUAAAGGAGAUUUCUGGCGGCUUCGUGAUACUCUGAAGACCUUACUUUAGCUAGAGGUGCAAAAACCUUGCUUUAACAGUGUGUUUCAGCCAAAGGCCUACAAUAAAUUUGAGAUAUGAUAAUCCGCAUGAUGUCUAAUUGAUGUAUUUCUCCUCAUUGAAAGUGAAGGGAUCCUGUUGUGUGACAAAUGCAGUGAAAUCUAUCAUCCAGAUCUUAGCACAGGUCUGGAUCCAAUAAUGUCACUGGUGUACCUCCAGACACCAGUGACAUUAUUGGAAAAAUGUGUUUAUUUUUUGGCAGCUCUUCUUCUUCUCACUGCAAAAAUGUGUUUAUUUUUUUCUUCUUUUUGUAAACGAGUUAUUUCGCAGUCCCAAACAAAACGUCAUCUCAGAUGCAUUUCAAGUUCGCCAUACUGGGUCAUAAUAUAGGUUACUGUUGGCUGCGAAUGGCCAUGAAAUAUAAUAGGGUGAGGGUUGUAAAUUGUUCAUAUUGGUAGCGCAUGCCUCUCAAUUAGUUAAUCAAUGAUAUUCACAUUCUUCUUGGCCGGUAAAGUUUAUCAUCUGUGUAAAGGUUAUGUAUUUCUCACCUUUGAGAUAAAUGCUAGAUUCAAUCUAGAUAUAAUUUUACCAAUAAUUUGCAUAAACGCUCAAUGAUAUAAUUGCUUCUUUAUGAUUAUCUACACGUUACAUUUUUUUAUGAAUUCAUUUUUUGGCCUCCUAUAUUUUGAUGAAAUCCUAGAUUUUAAUGAUUCAGGGGAAAUAAAGAACAUGAUUAGUAUUCAGCCAUUACAAUUAUUUAUGUGUACAUUUCUAUUACUGCUUGCUAAUGUGAUAUGGUUAUUUGCAUCUAAUCUAUCUAUAAAAAAAUUUAAAAUAGGCUUUUGGUGAAUUUCCAUAGAUCUUAAAUGCCGAAGAGGAAAUGAAGAAAAGGACUGGCAUUCAGUCAUCUUCUAUUCGUGCCUCUUUUCCUUCUCAAGCUGAUGCCACAACUGACACUGGAUCUGCCAUAAAAAUUGCUGCUCCUAAAAUGACCGUAGAGGUAAAUUUUGGGGGUGAUUUUAGUGGCGCUGGAGAAUCAGAAGAGAUUGCUAGCCAAGGUGCACAAGUGCGUCAUUCAUACCACAUGCAAAGCCCACCCGCAUCCUCAGCUUCUCCUUUCAACAGACCAAUGCAUGGAUUUGUUCAUCAUAGUUCGGUAAGUACUUUACGACUGAACUAUUUUCUUAUUAACUGAUAAUACCUGUUAGUAUCCUCCAGAAUCGUCAAGUGUUAUUUUUCGUAACUUUUUAUUUUCACUCUACAUUUGUUUAUGGUGCCAACAUAAGGUUCGGGGAUCAUUAUUUAUGCAGACCUCAUCAUGAGGUAUAGAGUUCCUAAGCUCUUGUUCAGUGUUACUAUUACAAAGUUUGUGGAAUUUGAGAAAAAGCAACACUACUUUUUAGAACUCACAUUCUUCCCCUAGAUCAAUGGUGAGAUUUUACGCCCAGUUGGUUUGAGAGAAGGGAGUGUCUUACGAUCCAUUAGAAAUAAUAAAGACCAUCUUCUUGAAGGGAAAUACGGAACAUUUUCCCAUUCUUUACAGUUGAUGGAUCAUCCAACUAAAAAAAAAGCCUUUCUUUGUUACCACAAACAUUUUCUAAGACCAAUAUGGGACUAUUCUUCAAAAACUCUGAAACAAAAGGCCACUGUUCCUUCCAUAUGCUAUCCAUUAUUUAGUACGAAAUUCCUAGCAAUCUCCCAGCCUAUGGACAAUAUGGCUGCAAUAACGAUUCAACUCCCGCUGGUUCUUCAACCAUAAGAUCUAAGAGAAGAGAGGAUGGUCAGUAUUUGUAGAAAGCCCACAUAAUCUUCCUGUUAGCCGCAACAUAUUUAUCCUAUUAGCCACAAGAUCUAAGAGUGGAGAGGAUGGUCAGUUUCCUUUUGAUAACCUUCUUGCGAGGAUAUCAGUAGCCUACCCCGUAAGCUGGCCAGGGACUCCAUGGUUGGUGGUGAGUUCAAUUGAACAUGGGUUCUUGCCACUUGAAAGGAUGAUAAUCAAAGGAAAGAUAAAAACACUGGAAGGUUAAUUUUUUUUAUUUAUGCAUCCGAUGAACUAUGACAACCAGUUGAUGCGUGCUGCAAGUUAUCCUCAUGCCGGGACUGUACAGCACAACUGAUCCUGGUCUCCUUUAAAGGCCAUCUCUCGGGAACUUGGGUGAUAUGUCUAGUAUCUUUGGUUUAUAUGCAAAAAUAGUAUAGUUCAUUGUUUUUUAUUUCGUCUAGAUCAUGCCAGACUAUUUUGGAAAUCUGAAAAGUAUAACAAAGGAAAAAGAAAACUAGUUUAGUAAUUACCUUUUCUACACUUCACAGGCCACCACCCCUCGAGGAAUUUCCACGUCUACAUCACUUGGGAGUAUGACAGCUAGCCCAUCUCGGUUCGCUCCAUCCGGACAUCCAGGCCACGCGGCAAGUCAACCAGUCGUUUCUAUUUCUGGAACUCAUUUUCUCGCCUCCUCGCCCUCCCCUGCAGGUUCCGGCAGUGCUUCCUCCGUUUUCAGAGACUCUCAUCUCACCAGCCCAUAGUGGAAAAGUGGGCAUCUUUUAUUGGUGUAACUGGACAGAAUGCAUGUUCAUGAAUGCUCCGAAAAAGCAAUUUCUGUCUGUCUCUCUCGCUCCAAGAGAGUGGACAGAAUUUGUGUACCUCAGGUCGUGUACAAUAUAGAAAAUACCCACUUAAAAUUGACGUUUUCAUUUUGUGGUCAACUAAGUUAAUAUGAUGAUGUUGGUGUAUAUAAAAGAUCAGAGUUUUAUGAUCAAACUUCCAAUGGGGGGGGGGGGGAGCUAAGAAAAGGGAGUGAAGAGAUGGGGGGAGGGAGGAGACAAGUAUUAUGGUGUUCUUGAGUGGUUGUUGUUGAUGUUGUGAGUUCAUAGGAUCUGACUCUUAAUAUACUUUUUCCUAUUUCAAAUUAGCUUCUAUUAGUUUUGAUUCUUGUUUUUCCUUUCUUACCGGAGUUCUAUCAAUUGGUAUGAGAGCUGACUCAAUGGUGUCCAAAAUCAAUGAUAAAAGGUUGGAAAACUUGCAAAUGAAGGUUGAACAGAUGAGAGAAGAAUUGACAUGUCUAUUGAAGAAGAAGAGGUGCUUGUAGAAUUUGCUAGUGAUAGAGAAUGUGUUGAGACAGCUUCUUGUAAUGGAGUAGAGUACACAAUCUAAUUUAGGGUUUAACACAAUUCAUGUGGAGAAUGGAAAGAUAUGCCGUCACAAAGUCAUAUGACCAGAAUAAGGGAUGUGAAGAGAGAGAUAUUCAUAGGAGGAAAUCUGAAUGUUGAGAUGCAAAGGAAAAAACAAUGUUAAUACAAAGGAAUGAGUCAACAACAAUGUAAUUCUUUCAAAGAUUUCUAUAAGAGAAAAUUGGACAAUCUAAAUGUAAUAGAAGAGUUGGGACCUAUGGGCAACAAUGCAUCAUGGAGCAUGGGAUGACAAUUACAACUACUUGAUUCCAUGGGAUGAACUUUCUCGGUAGAUGGAUCUUCUCAGUAUAAUUGUAUUUCUCUAUAAAUAGAAUGAUUGAAGCAAAAAAUUGAUGGCCACAAGGGCAAGUUUUGAAAACAACAAAGUGUUUGUUUGAUUUAUAUGGAUUGAUGUUAAAAGGCCUUUUAUUGGAAGGAAUUGAAGGACUAAUUUCAUAGGAGCUUUAAAUCUUCAUAAGAGAAGAGUCUUUACAUGAGAUUUUUAGGUAUUAAACAACUUGAAAUAGUAGCAUAAUUCAGAAGGAAAGUUAAAUUCAUAUCAAUUUUAAUAGAUAAGUUACUUGAAGAGGUCCUAGAAUAUACCUUUGUUAAAGGGUUAAUGCUUGAGAUCCGUGUAGAAAUUAGAUUCUUGGAGUAUGUUGGCAUGCAUGAAAACAUAAAAAUAAUCCAAUUGAUAGAAAUAAAAAAUCACAUUGUUAGAAUAAUUUGAUGAAUGGUGUGUCAAGAUCAAACAAAAUAUGUCAUUACAAAAAAUCUAGAUAUACUCAUUCAAGUUCAAACAAUGGCACUAGUUGGGGCAUAACUAUAGGUCAACCACUUUUAGAUGCAUCAGAUUGGAAAGCAAGAUCAAUGCUAGUAGGAGAAUAACUUCCUCACAUCCAUCAAGAAGUUCACACCUUACCAUGUGUGCAUUAGAGAAUAAUAGAUCAUGUAAGUAUGUAUAGACAAUCAUGAGGUGAGGAUAUCAAUAGAGGAUUGGAGAGCUAACAAAUUCUUGUGACAUAGAGAACUCAUGAGAAUAAUUAGAAGUAAUUGAGAAUGUCAAGUUAUCAUCUAGCACCCCAAGAGUUCAACAAGGAAUGCCAAGGUCAACUCUACCACGAAGGACUACAAAGAUUAAAAUAAAUUCUAAUUUGAGAGUCAUCUUAAUCUAAAUUUCUUGCCUUUUACCUCUUUUAGUGGACUCUAAUUAGAAUAUUGAGUCAAUUAUUAUUGUGCCUCUCUAAUGCAAUAAGAGGAUUCAUCUAAAUAAGUGGGGCCAUGAACUAGAAGAAGAGGUUAUAGAAGAGGACGAAAGAGAUUUUGAUGGAGACUCUCCCUUUGUCCAAGGAGCCCUUUGACAAACACAUCUUUCUAAUAUGUUGUUUGGCACCCUUUGGGGUUGUCUCCCCAUAAUCACCUUUUCUAUUUCUAUAAAGUUUAAAAACUAUUGUGAACAAGACAUUGAUGAUGAAGGAUUAACUUUUUCUCUUCCUUUUUUCUCUCUCAUCUUCACUCACCCCUCUCCCUCAUUAGUCUUCUCUUUCUCUUUCUUCCUUGUGUGUUCCUCUCUUGCACGCCUUCUCUCUCUUCCUCCCACUUCCUUGUGCAUUUCUCUCUUGUGUACUCUUCCUUUACUCUCUCUCUCUUUCUUUUCUCUCUUCUCUCUCUCGCCAAUCUUGCAUGUCUUCUUUGUCUCUCUUGCAUCCCCUCUCUCUCUCUCUCUUUCUCUCUUCUCUCUCUCUCUCACCAAUCUCACAUGUGUUCGCUAUCUCUCUCAUGUCCCCUCUCUCUAUUCUUCUCAUACAUUUACCCUUCCUCUCACAUGCUCUCUCUCUCUUCUCUCUCUAUCUCUCUCUCUUUCUCACAUGUCGCCCACUCUCUCUCCCCAUCGUGUGUCACCCACUCACUCUCCCCCUUCUAUGUUCACCUUACUUUCUUUCACAUGCUCUCUCUCUCUUCUCUCUCUAUCUCUCUCUCUUUCUCACAUGUCGCCCACUCUCUCUCCCCAUCGUGUGUCACCCACUCACUCUCCCCCUUCUAUGUUCACCCUACUUUCUUUCACAUGCAUUCUCUCUUCUCUUUUUCAUGUUGUCUAUUAUUUCAUCCACCUUUCUCUCCCUCCCUCACAAUCUCUCUCUCAUUAAUUUUUAUCCUAUUAUCUUUUCUAUUCUCCUUCAUUUUCGCCCUCCUCUCUUCUCCCACAAGUCAUUGCUUCAAUUUUGUCAACUCUUUCAUUGGGACUUUCAAGAAGGGCUUGUAUAAUCUCAAAAUUCAAGGAAUUAAGUGUGUCAACAUUUUCCUUACCAAGGUGAAGUGAUAUUUCUCAUCUUUUUGAAGUUUGAUUAAAUUUCAAAAUCUUUGCUCAUAGUUAUUUCAUCAUGAGAUAGUUACACUCUUGUUCUUAAUGUUGACCCUCCUUAAUUGAAACUUAUUAUAUCCUCUUGGAUUAUAGAUCCCUAAUUUAACCAAUUAAUAGUCCUCAUCAUUCUUUUCUUGUAAGAUUAACAACCCUCUUAAUUGACAAAUCUCUUGAUUUAAUUUAAGCCAUCAUGAGAUCACAUUUGGAGUAUCAAUUUAUGUGAAAGUCAUAUCCCUCACAUCUUUGUCCCGUAUCACCAUCUCACCUAGAUUAUGACCUCACUUAAAUGAUGCAUAUGAAAGAAUAACUAAAUAUGUGUAAUAUAACAUUGAGACCAAAGAUGCUUAUGCAAUUGAAUAAUUGGCCCCCUAACUAAGUUACAUGAGAGUGGUUAACUAAGCUUCAAUAGAUUCUCCUCUAUGUGCAUCUUGGGGACAAGGUGAUUGGUGAAGUGGGGGAUAGUGUAAGGCCAAAUGGCUAUACCUAUAGUUAGAAAGAUUAGUACAUCAUAAAAAAUCUUGGGUACUCAUAGGAGAGUCGAGGACUCUCUAACCUCCUCCAUGUUGUGCUAGGUUUUUCUAGUGCCAUGUUUAUUUUAUUAUUUCCCUUAUAUCUCUCUCUUUCUUUAUAGAUUUUCCUUGCAAGACCGUGGUAUCUUUACACAUUUUUAUAAAUUAUGGAUUGAUUAUUCCUUUGGUGUGAGCUUCUUUACAAUAUCAAAUGUUAACAUAAUUCUAUAAUAUCUUUUUUCAUAAAUUCCUUUUGAAACUUUUUGUUCACAUUACUCUAUUUUAUGAAAACAAUCUUCAUGGAUAGCACAUUUCAAUUCUAGUUACAAUAAUGACCAUCAAUUGAAAUAUAAAUUAUAUUCCUUUACAUAUAUUAGAACAAUGUAUUAUGUAUAUCUGAAUGCUCUAGAAAAUAAAAUUCACACAUAAAGUGCCUAAAUUUAAUAGUGUGCAUAUAUCAUCAAUAGUAUUAAUAUAAUCAUUUAAUCUUAAAAAAAUUAAAACAUCAAAACCACAUUUUGAUACUGGUGAUGCAAGUAUAGUUGCAUAGAGAUAAAUCACAUCCCUAAAUACAUAAGAAAUUUUUUUUUGCGAAUAUUUCUCACCAUGAAUCCACAAGGAGGCAAUCUUGAAUUCACAACAAAAUGGGGGUUCUCUUAAAUCUUCAAGGAAUAGGUUUGAUUUCGCAAACAAGGAGAUAAGAUUUCAAAAGUGGAGAAAAUAUUAAAAUAUUGAAUAAAAUGUCAUUGGGGCUACAAGGUGAUAUAUUUUUUGUUUGGUGCAUGAUGUGGAACAAAUAGAGAGAUUUAUGAUUUCCACAUAGAAGCUUAAAUAAAAGGGAUUAAAUGUUGACUUUUAGGAAAUUCACUUGAGAUAGUCAAAUCACUCAACCUACAAUAUGAUUUAGAUAGGAUCUAGAUUUAUGGUUGCCUUGAUUGAGAACCUUAAUAUAAUAAGAUAAAUCAAACCUAAGAACAAGGGCUUUGGAUCACCAAAUAGGCAAAGGUGGCUAUCUUAUAGGUUUCACAUAAGAAUCUAAAGUAAUGAACUUCAAGUGUUAAUUAAAUUAAGUACUUAAGAGGAAUAGAAAAUCAAAUACCUUAUGGAGAAUUCUUGAUUACUUGAAGGGUCCUCUAAACUGCUUAAGAAUGGCUUUGAUCUCAUUUGCAAAUAUUUGCCCACAGGUUGAAAAAGAAACGUUAGUGGAUAAAGAGAUGGGGUGACUCGAAGUAGAGAAGAGAGGAAGGAUGCGUUAGGUGGGGAGGAGGAUAGAGGAAAUGGGGCUGAUCAAAUCUCUCACAAGGAUGUGAGGAUCAACUAGGAUGGUUCAAGAAAAAAACUUGAGGGGAAAAAUGAAAGAAAUUUAAAGGAGAAGGGAGAGAAGCUCAAGAGGGAAGAGACCUUCAAGAGAGAAAGAAAGAACUCGAGAGAAGGGACUCAAGAGAGGGAGAAGAGAACUUAAGAGAGAGGGAAACAUUCAAGAGGGAAAGGCACAAAAUUUUCA
rnacentral:lncRNA from 1 species